GGAGAGAUGGCUGAGUGGUUGAAAGCACCGGUCUUGAAAACCGGCAUACGUUAAUAGCGUAUCUAGGGUACAAAUCCCUAUCUCUCCGCCA
rnacentral:tRNA from 1 species